UAUCCAGUAUAAUAUAUAAUAUUAUAUAAUACCUAUAAUAUAUAAUGUAAUAUAUGUAAUAUAUAAUAUAUAUAAUAUACAUGUAUAUAUACAGAGUAGGUUAUAUUUUAGUUAGGCAAACCUAGUGUACACAUGUGAAACAGUACUAGAAUUUGGAGCUAAAUAAGAGUUAAUACUUAUGUCGUGCUUAAAAUGUGAACCUCACAACAAUCCUUUGAAGUAGGUACAAUUAUUUCCUCAUUUUUCAGAGGAAGAAAUGGAGACACAGCAAAGUAAUUAAGUUUGUUGCUCAAGAUCGUACCGGAAAUCAUAAGUAGGCAGUCUGGCUCCAGAGGCGGUGUGGUUUCUCUGGGGAGCUUUACUUUAUACUUCGAAGGGACAUCUAAGCACUACUUUUGCAGCUGUAAGAGAUGCUCUUUUAAAAAUUUCAAAGUAGCGUAAGAGAUUGCAGUGUCUCUAAACUGCAGAAGGAAUGCUGGAUUUUCUAUAUAGAGGACAUUGAUAAUGGAAUGGUUAAGGGGACAUUAUAUAUUGAAAUGACUAAAGAUGGUGGAGAGAAACUGAAGUUUGAAUCUCAAAGCUGAGGAUUAUGAUUUUUUAUAGAUACUGAAUUCUAGAACAGUGAUUCACCAGGACAUAGGACAAUGAUUGCUUGUUACUAAUUUAGUAUCAAAAAACUUAUGCCAAAUAAAAUAAUAUUGAAUGACA
rnacentral:lncRNA from 10 species